CAAAGAUCUCAUUAGCGUCUACGCACUAACGGCGUUAGAUUAAGUGCGAGGAUGUUUUGAUGCGGUGAGAGUGAGACUGGCGGAUAAAGAUAUCAUAUGGCUACUUGCCUCUUGAUUAUUUAUCCUGGUAAAAAAGCUUACGAUACGAACAUCUUCAAAAACAUUUGUGUUAAUAAUAUAACUUUGGCGUACCCUAAAGAUCAAAAUGGAUCAUAUUUAUCUGUGUGUUUUAAUGUUUUGUGAUGCUUAGCUGUGCUUAAACAUUUAUAAAUGAUUUAAAAAGGUUACUAAUCUUUUUAUCACAAACUUAAAAGUAUUUAUGAAAAUGAUUAUCUUUUAAAGGUAAAUUUGAAAAAUAAUAUCAAAUUUGUGGUAGAAUUGAAAUUUCUCCAUAAUAAAUUAUUUU
rnacentral:lncRNA from 1 species